rnacentral:rRNA from 1 species
AACGGUAACAUUUCUAGCUUGCUAGAAGAUGACGAGUGGCGGACGGGUGAGUAAUGCUUGGGAACUUGCCUUUGCGAGGGGGAUAACAGUUGGAAACGACUGCUAAUACCGCAUAAUGUCUACGGACCAAACGGGGCUUUUAGCUCCGGCGCAAAGAGAGGCCCAAGUGAGAUUAGCUAGUUGGUAAGGUAACGGCUUACCAAGGCGACGAUCUNUAGCUGNUCUGAGAGGAAGAUCAGCCACACUGGGACUGAGACACGGCCCAGACUCCUACGGGAGGCAGCAGUGGGGAAUAUUGCACAAUGGGGGAAACCCUGAUGCAGCCAUGCCGCGUGUGUGAAGAAGGCUUUCGGGUUGUAAAGCACUUUCAGUUGUGAGGAAAAGUUAGUAGUUAAUACCUGCUAGCSGUGAC